rnacentral:lncRNA from 1 species
AAAUCGCCUUGCGUCAGUAUACGGCAGACGCCUGGGAAAAUCUGUGGAAAAAAAAAAAAAAAGAUUUUUGUUACGUAAUUACGACAAGCUGUUGCUGCUUAUUAAAAGGAAAUCAUUUCUGCUCCUGUGAUGCAUCACCCUCCACUGUAGGCAUUUCCUCUUGGAAAAUGCGUUAAGACAGAUGCCCGUCCUGUGUUCACACCGCGCUCUGAACGCACAGGCCAACUCGGCAUUUCUCUACUUUCAUUUGCUGAUUCCAGUUCCUCUUCAUGUUGUAGGUUUGGGCAUACAUUUUACAAUGUUCACAAUAGAACAGAUCUUAAGAAUAAGGAAUAGGCUGCAUGGCCCCUCAACUCUAUUCUCUUCUCAGAAGAUUGAAAAAGCCUCAUUAAUUUUCAAGCUGCAAGGUAGAAAGGUGCAGCACCUAAGCAACAGCAUCAGAAAGAGAAGAUGAAAAUGGUGGUCCUGGAGACUGAGGAAGGAG